UUUUUGCUGAACUGAACUGAAAUUAAUUUUAUUAAAUAUUUUUUUUAAGGUGAAGUAAACAAGGUCUGACUCUAUUCUCAUCAGUUAUCUAUAACAUUUAAUGAGUAAGUUUAUAAACAAUUUAAUUACCACAAUAUAAAACUAAUAUAACAAUUAGAUUAUAUUUUACAACACGAGUGUGCCCCCAUCACUUCUCUAGUCUAGUACUCUAGUGAUUAAAUUUCUAAUAAUCCCAACGUCCAAAAAUCUAGAAAGAACCAUAAAAUUUAAACCUUUUUUUUUUACGGGAAAGCUUUUACUUAUAGCGGGAAAUGCUUAAUUGACUUGGAAUUUUCUUAAGAACCCUAAAAUUCAAAUUUAGACUUAAAAGCGUCAACUUUUGGAGAGAGAAAGAAGAAUUUGCAGAGACUUCAAUGGAGGAAAAGAAGAUAGAAGUUCUAGAACCCUACCAACUCCAUUACUCGGAUCUUCUCAAACUUUCGUCAUCGUCUUCAUCUUCAUCAUCGAUUGAAAUCGGACAGUUGGAAUCAGUCACGAGAGCAGUAAUGGAAGCCCUAGGGCCCACUGGUCCAGGCCUUCUCACCAUUACUGGAGUCCCUAAUGUUGCGGAACUCCGCAAUUACCUGCUCCCUCGCGCACGGGAUCUUUCCCUCCUUCAUCAUCGUCAUCGCAAUCGCAUUCUCAAGGAUCAUGGCUUAGGGAGCGAUGUUCCAUUGAAGAAUUUGGAUAGAUGUGUCUCAUCAUUUGCUAUGCAGCUGAAAUAUGGGCAUGAAUUGGAUAUGAGUAAGUUGAGCCAUGUAUGUUCUGAGGGCCUUGAGAAGCACAAUGGGGCUGAAGAAAAUAUUGAUGCUGAUGAGUAUGUCAAAUCAAUGAAUGAUCACUUCAAGGAUCUUGGUUGUAAUUUUAGGGAACUUGGGUUAUGUAUGAUGGACUUGGGACUUCGUGUAGCACGUAUUUGUGAUAGGGCAAUUGGUGGGAAGGAAUUGGAGAAUAGCUUGUUAGAGUCAGGGACAGCAAAGGGUCGUCUCAUUCACUAUCAUUCUUUUCUUGAUACUUGUAUAAUCAAAGAAUCUGGGAGAAGACAGGGGUCUAAGAAAGGACAACAAAAAUCUGUACCAAAGAACUUUCAUUUCAAGGAUGAAAAGAGGUCAUGCAGGAGUGAGGAAAUGCAUAGAGAUGGUGAUAGAAGGGCAUGCAAGAAACAUUCCGAUCUUUGGCAACAGUGGCACUACGACUAUGGUACCUUCACUGUUCUUACUAGUCCAAUGCUCAUCAAACUAAGAUGUUGCCACACAGAACAAGGGGAUGAUGAUUACAAGAAAUUCAGUGGGUUAGAAUGCUCGUCACCCAGUGGGAAUACUUAUAUGCAGAUUUUUCAUCCAAAAAAUAACAACAUUUGUGCUAUAAAGGCUCCUCCUGAGAGUUUCAUUCUUCAGGUGGGAGAAUCAGCUGAUAUUCUGUCAAGACAUAAACUCCAGGCAACGCUUCACUCAGUAUCACAGCCAGUAGAGCUAGAAAUUUUGAGCAGGGAAACUUUUGUUGUUUUUUUGCAUCCUGCGUGGAAUAAAGUUUUUGAUAUUUCAGAUUAUCCAAUGGAGCAGUUAACAUUAAAUGAUCAGAAGGGGAAUCAUGGGGAGAGGCCUCAAGGUGAGGGAGAGCUCGAGAAACUUACACAAGAGAUUCACAGAAUCAUUCCCCCACUCUCUGCACGGCUAAAGGAUGGGAUGACAUUUGCUGAAUUCUCCCGGGAAACAACCAAGCAAUACUAUGGUGGUAGUGGCUUACAAUCAAACAGAUGAGGGUCGCGAAGCAGUGAGGUUGCAUUUGACUCUGCCAUAUGCAUUGUAUUCUUGUUGUGGUUGGUCUACUUGCUCUGGUGUUGAGGAAGCAUCUGCAGAGGAACACCUUAUCUUAUUUGAGGAUGCUGUGAUCCAAGUAUAUAUUCAAUUGACAAAAUUCUUUAUUGAAGAAUUUUGCCAUUUUACUGUACAUCUACUCUCUACCAAACCAUAUGAAGCUUCCUAGAAAGGGUGAAUAAUAUUGACGCACGCUUUGCCUACAAUCACAACAUGAUCAUUUCUCUAUGAUAUCCUGACAAGGUGAUGAGUUACGAGUAAAUAACUACAUUUGUUGAACUGGUUGUCAUCAAGUGAGGCUUAACUUUGUGUGGAGUAGGAGAUGAUGACGUUUUACAGUUGCAAACUGCAAAGGUAUCAAAAGGGCACGCUUCUGUGCUGAAGUUCAUCUUCUCAGUUAUAUUUCAGCCUUUAUUUUAUAAUUGCAUAGUACCCCAAAAUGGUUUUAGAUUAAGGGGCAAUGUUGGCUUGGUCUGACCUUCAAAAAGGGAAGGUCCUUUUGUCAGUCUACGAUGUUGCCAAUUCCUGUAGAUGUUGCGACACCCAUCAAUUCAUUUUAAGAUCAUUCUAAGUUUUGAUUUCAUUCAGUUUAAUUGUGGAAUGUUAUGUCUGUAUACUUUCUUGGUUCAUCACUGUAAUGUCAUUUGGAUUUGAAAUUUAAGUGUGACUACGUGGUCUUCGUCGACUAGAAACUAGAAUCAGUGACGGUUUUUUUUUUUUUUUUUUUUUUCAUUUGAUGUGAGACAUGAAGGCCUUGUAGCCUUGUAGGUAUCACUUCCAAGACUUAUCCAGUUACUCUACACUAAUGUUGAGGUUUGGGAUCCUUGCAUUUUGAAUUUUUAGGUGUCGGAACUGUGACCCUAGGAGUGUAGGGUGUCCAUUGUCAAUGGUAACUCUAGAUAUGCUUCAUUUCCUAGAAUGGUGAUUUAGGAACUUAUGAAAAAAAAAAAAAAAAAAAUCACAUUUGACUAUUUGAGUAAGUAUUAGUGUAUUACUCAACCUUGUAUGAAUUAUUGUGAAUGCUAGAAUAUA